CCUUUAGAUGUUCUGGGCUGCACGCGCGCUACACUGACACUAUCAACGAGUGCUCCUGGUUUGAAAGGAUCGGGUAAUCUUUUGAAAUGGUGUCGUGAUGGGGAUAGAUCAUUGCAAUUAUUGAUCUUGAACGAGGAAUUCCUAGUAAAUGUGAGUCAUCAGCUCACGUUGAUUACGUCCCUGCCCUUUGUACACACCGCCCGUCGCUCCUACCGAUUGAGUGAACCGAUGAGUAGUCCGGAUUGCGAUCGACCUCGGUUAAUCGCGAGAAGUUCCGCAAAUCACUUCACUUAGAGGAAGGAGAAGUCGUAACA
rnacentral:rRNA from 1 species